AACGUAGGUCCCGAGCGUUAUCCGGAUUUACUGGGCGUAAAGCGUGUUCAGGCGGCCUGGCAAGUCGGGCAUGAAAUCUCUCGGCUCAACCGGGAGGGGCUGUCCGAUACUGCUGGGCUUGAGGGCAGGAGAGGGUGGUGGAAUUCCGGGUGUAGUGGUGAAAUGCGUAGAGAUCCGGAGGAACACCAGUGGCGAAAGCGGCCACCUGGCCUGCACCUGACGCUCCAACACGAAAGCUAGGGGAGCGAACGGG
rnacentral:rRNA from 2 species